UACAGAGGGUGCGAGCGUUGUCCGGAAUCACUGGGCGUAAAGGGCGCGUAGGCGGUCUCUUAAGCGUGUGGUGAAAGCCCGGGGCUCAACGUCCGGGUCGGCCGUGCGAACUGGGGGACUGGAGCUUGGUCAGAGGCAGGCGGAAUUCCGGGUGUAGCGGUGGAAUGCGUAGAGAUCCGGAAGAACACCGGUGGCGAAGGCGGCCUGCUGGGACAGUGCUGACGCUGAGGCGCGACAGCGUGGGGGAGCAAACAGG
rnacentral:rRNA from 1 species